GCCGCAUCACCAUGAAGCUUUAACAAGCUCGCAUACGAGAAGAUGUAAUACUGCACUCGGAGUCUCUCGACUGCCCAAGCUUCUACUGAACGAUUACCGCUUGCUGAUUGUAUGGCACCCAUAUGCUCGGCGUACCAAGAUCUUUACGGAGAAAAUUUUUGCCUACGCACCAUUUCUAAAGUUAUUUACCAAGCGAACAACGUCACCCAUGCAUCGAAUUGCGAAAAUCCGAUUUGCCGACGAUGGUAAAUUUCCAACCGACUUUAAUUAUGUCCUAUUUACUUAACCGAUAUUCGACUCGGCAAUUUUUUUAUUCGGGUAUAAAGUAUUCUUAAAAAAAAAACAUAGCGGCUAUAAAAUAUACAAAAUGGAAUUUUAUAACACUCUUUUUCAAUUACUUUUAUAAUAAACAAACUAUAAUAUA